rnacentral:rRNA from 1 species
AUUGAACGCUGGCGGCAUGCCUUACGCAUGCAAGUCGAACGGCAGCACGGGAGCAAUCCUGGUGGCGAGUGGCGAACGGGUGAGUAAUGUAUCGGAACGUACCUUUCAGUGGGGGAUAACGUAGCGAAAGUUACGCUAAUACCGCAUAUUCUGUGUGCAGGAAAGCAGGGGAUCGCAAGACCUUGCGCUGAUUGAGCGGCCGAUAUCAGAUUAGCUAGUUGGUGAGGUAAAGGCUCACCAAGGCGACGAUCUGUAGCGGGUCUGAGAGGAUGAUCCGCCACACUGGAACUGAGACACGGUCCAGACUCCUACGGGAGGCAGCAGUGGAGAAUUUUGGUAC